CGCAGCAUAGCUCAGUGGGAGAGUGGUGGGCUCAUAUGCAGGGACACCCACAGGUCAGAGGAUCGAAACCUCUUGCUGCGC
rfam:Vitrella brassicaformis CCMP3155 genome assembly, contig: scaffold291